rnacentral:lncRNA from 1 species
AGGCUCUUGUCAUGAGCUGCCAAGGCUAUGGAAGCCCCCUGAGUUCACUGACUCUGAUCAUAUUUAGACAAGGCCAUGGUCAAAGUGGAAGUUCUCUCCUCCGUUCAGAGAAAGGUACCUCUUUCUUUGAUGACCCAUUCUUUCCACUGGGAUCUCACUCAUGGAGAUCUUUCAUUUAGGUUUUUCUUUUUUCCCCCAGAGUGUCUUGGCUUUCCAUGCCUGAAAUACUCUCAUGGGCAUUUCAGCCGGAUCCACAUUUUAUUUAUUUUAAAGGGAGAGAGAGAAAGAGAGAAAGAGAGAAAGAGAGAGAGAGAGAGAGAGAGAGAGUUAUCUCCCAUCUGCUAGUUCAUUCCCCAAAAGGGUUGGGCCAAGCCGAAGCCAGGAACCCGAAACUCCAUGUGGGUCUCCCACAUGGGUAGCAGAGGCCUAACUACCUGAGCUAUCUCCCUCUGUUUUCCUAGGCACCUUACCAAGUAGCUGGAUUGGAAGCACAGCAGCCAGGACUCGAAGCGUUGCUCUGUUAGAGGAUGCCAGUGUUGCAGGAGGUAGCUUAACCCAUUGCUCCACAAUGUUAGUCUCUGAUUACUCUCAUUUUAUACAAGAGAAAGUUAAAGCUUUGAAAAGUUGAGUAUCUUGCUCCAGGUCACAAAAGUUGUAAACUUGGGACCUUGAAUGCCAAUUUCACAUUUUGAAUCACUCAGAUUUUUAGACAAGCAUGAAGGAAGAGUGGACAAUGAGGAUGGUAAAAGCUUCUGAAUGCAGAUGUGAGACCUUCUCCAAGGGAAACACCUCAAGAUUUUCCAGUGUGCUUUAUUUGAGCAUUGUAGCUGUUUUAUAGAACUUGGGAAUUCUUUUUUAUGGUAUGUAUUUUGCUUGCUGCAAGUCUGUCCACUGUAUUUUUCUCAGAAGGACCAGUCUAUUAAGAUUUAUUGUUACAAAAGUGACAAUUUAUACAUGUUUUCAGAAAGUUUGGCAAUGGCUUAUAAACUUCCCUGGUGCAUCUCUGUUUUUUAUGCUCUUGAAAAAUAAAUUAUUUUGUGUUCCCUCUGUCCUUAAAGAGCUAUUAUUUCUAACUAAAUGCUUAACACCACACAUAGGCCAAGGGGUUAAGAGGUUUUUGUUGAUAGUGCUCAUUAAAGUAGGUGAAAGAUACACAUUUCAAUCUUAACAGUAUAAUAAUCAUUACUUAUCAGAUUUAAAGAAAGAACAUUGUUUCAUUAAAAAUAGCAAUAAAAUGCAGUCAAUAAAAUGCA